AGUGAACGCUGGCGGUAGGCCUAACACAUGCAAGUCGAACGGCAGCACAGGAGAGCUUGCUCUCUGGGUGGCGAGUGGCGGACGGGUGAGGAAUACAUCGGAAUCUACUCUGUCGUGGGGGAUAACGUAGGGAAACUUACGCUAAUACCGCAUACGACCUACGGGUGAAAGCAGGGGACCUUCGGGCCUUGCGCGAUUGAAUGAGCCGAGGUCGGAUUAGCUAAUUGGCGGGGUAAAGGCCCACCAAGGCGACGAUCCGUAGCUGGGCUGGAAGGAUGAUCAGCGACCCGUGAACUGAGACACGGUCCAGACUCCUACGGGAGGCAGCAGUGGGGAAUAUUGGACAAUGGGCGCAAGCCUGAUCCAGCCAUACCGCGUGGGUGAAGAAGGCCUUCGGGUUGUAAAGCCCUUUUGUUGGGAAAGAAAUCCAGCUGGCUAAUACCCGGUUGGGAUGACGGUACCCAAAGAAUAAGCACCGGCUAACUUCGUGCCAGCCGCCGCAGUAA
rnacentral:rRNA from 1 species